ensembl:snoRNA U3 Small nucleolar RNA U3
AAGGCUAUACUUUCAGGGAUCAUUUCUAUAGUUUGUUAUUAAUUAUAUAUUAUAGUUUAAAAACCCUGAGCAGUAUUAGCAGGC